rnacentral:rRNA from 1 species
CCUACGGGAGGCAGCAGUGGGGAAUAUUGCGCAAUGGGCGAAAGCCUGACGCAGCGACGCCGCGUGAGGGAUGAAGGUCUUCGGAUCGUAAACCUCUGUCAGCAGGGAAGAACGGUCACUGUGCUAAUCACCAGUGAAUUGACGGUACCUGCAAAGGAAGCACCGGCUAACUCCGUGCCAGCAGCCGCGGUAAUACGGAGGGUGCGAGCGUUAAUCGGAAUUACUGGGCGUAAAGCGCUCGUAGGCGGGAUGUCAAGUCAAGGGGGAAAUCCCCGCGCUCAACGUGGGAACUGCCUUUGAAACUGGCAAACUGGAGUGUGUGAGAGGAUAGUGGAAUUCGAGGUGUAGGAGUGAAAUCCGUAGAUAUCUGGAGGAACAUCAGUGGCGAAGGCGACUAUCUGGCACAUAACUGACGCUGAGGAGCGAAAGCGUGGGUAGCAAACAGGAUUAGAUACCCCUGUAGUC